rnacentral:lncRNA from 1 species
GGCUCCUCAGGCACUGCACGAAAGCCGCCUCAGGCUGCGGCGGCGGCGCGAAGCUCCGGUGCCGAGGCUUCAGGCUUUCAGUUGCCUGCCUCGUUUAUGGCACCGUUCGGCACCGAGACGAACACGGUGCCGACAUUUCCAGCCUUGCCUGAUCCUGUGCGGGCUGAUGUUGUCCCCCCGGCACCUACCACGGCACCGGCAACCGCGGCACAGGCUGACAGGGAGAUCAAAGGAAAAACCCCUGCUCAGAGGAAUGUUCCCUCAGGGCAACUUCCUCCUCCACAGUUUUCACCUCAUGCAGGAGCCUCACCUUUUCAAUUCACUCAGACAGCAGAUCUAUUGGUCUCACCUAUUCUGCAGUCUCCCCUGAUAAAUGCCUGUUUUUCUCCAAUGCUUGACUCAGGAUCAGAACAACUUUCCUCCAGUGAGGAGGAAACUGAUCCACAGGCAGUUUUUUCUCCUUAUCAAGAUUCCCAGACCCCGAUCAACAGGGGUUACAAAAAAACUACCUCAGCCUGUUCUCAGGAUCCUGCCCCAUGGGGAGUGAACCCUUGGAUGGCACCACCUAUGCCCUACCCACCACCAUGCCAAUGUUGGGCACCAUGGGCAUCGUACCCCCGAGAACACAUGCGCUACGGCACUUCGACCAGGCGCAACACCGGUUUAGCACCGCCACGUGACGGACCUGCCAGUGACAUAAGAUACCAGGCAGCACCGUCACACUCCCAGGAGCAACUGAGUCCUGCUCCUAUUCCAGCAGAGCCCGACGUAACGCCUGAGGAAGCCUUACGCCCCCUUCCUCCAACACCGUUUGAUGACUAUGCCAAAUUCCAAGACCUCUUUAAAAGAGCUGCCGGUGACUUGAAAAUUAACUUGGAAGAAGUCACUGAACAACAGCAUGAACUAACAGACAUUUUGCAGCCCUUUUCUUCCUCUAGAGUGGCAUUACCAAUCAACAUAGCCCUUUUAGAACCCGCUAAAUCCAUCUGGCAGAAUCCAGCCACUAGCCUACCUACCUGUAAACAAGCGGACAGGAAGUACUUCAUUCCUUCAAAGGGCUCUGAAUUCCUUUUUACCCAUCCGGCGCCAAACUCAUUGGUAGUGGAUGCAGCAAACCAGAGGGCCAAACAACAGUACACCCGCUCCACCCCAGCCAACAAGGACAGUAAACGCCUGGACCUCUUCGGCUGUAAAGUAUAUGCAUCCUCGACGCUACAAUUUCGCAUAGCUAAUUAUACCGCAGUCCUUGCAAAAUAUGACCACAAAAACUAUAAUAAAUUCAUGGAUUUUAUUGAUCACAUCCCAGAGCAGAAGAAACAACAAUUCACAGCUCUGGUUUCCGAGGGACAAACCAUAUCACGCACCGCUCUCCAAGCGGCCCUCGAUGUAGCUAACACUGCAGCAAGGUCGACCGCCACAGCAGUGGUCAUGCAAUGGGGUUCAUGGCUCUCUUCCUCCUUCUUCCCUCGAGAGGUCCAGAGCACCAUUGAAGAUCUUCCCUUCAACGGGGAAAAACUUUUUGCCUCCACCACAAACGACAUGCUUCAUUCGAUGAAGGACGCAAGAGCAACCCUCCGGUCCCUAGGCCUCCAGCCACCUGCGACCAGAAGACGACAAUAUAGAUAUCAACCUUAUCACUGCCCACACUACCCUGCAUUUAC